GCCGGGCGUGGUGGCGCGCGCCUGUAGUCCCAGCUACUUGGGAGGCUGAGGCUGGAGUCGCUUGAGCCCAGGAGUUCUGGGCUGCAGUGCACUAUGCCGAUCGGGUGUCCGCACUAAGUUCGGCAUCAAUAUGGUGAUCUCCCGGGAGCGGGGGACCACCAGGUUGCCUAAGGAGGGGUGAACCGGCCCAGGUCGGAAAACUAUGAGUCACUACUCAAUGAAAUAGAAACUGAUACCAAGAAAUGGAAAGACAUCCCAUGCUCAUGGAUUCGAAUAAUAAAAUUCAU
rnacentral:SRP_RNA from 1 species